rnacentral:lncRNA from 1 species
GGCGUUCUGGAGCAUACCCUUAUAUAUUCAACACAUAUCUGUGAAGUGUCAGCCUCAUGCCAGGUCCUGUUCUCAGAACUGGAAAUGUAAGAAACAAGGUGACUCCUUCAGAUCAGGAUGCAGCAACAUUCUCAAGGAAGAGGAAACCAUCUUUAUACCACAAAGGUCUAAAGUCUGAUUCCACCGACAAGGGAGGUUCCCUGGGUGGUUGGAGUUUCAGGAUACGCGCAGAACUUCAAAUCCUCCCGUAUAUCUCCAUUUCAGUUCCCCAGUGCUCAUUUGAUACUGACCAAUGUGCUGUACGAUGCAAUGUAUGGGAGCCCCAAGAACUCCAUGCUCCAGGACUCUCAACUCCAGUUCUCAAAGUUCUCUGGUACAAGAAGAACUAAAUCUUGCACUCAUUUCGUCCAUCAAGAUCUUGGAGGAGCAGAGGCUGUGUUUGUACCCUGCCAGCUCUUGAAUCUCCCCUGGUUAGAAAAGGAAAAUGGCAGUUGACUUGGAUUUGAGAAGCAGGCUGUCGACACAGAUUGAU